GACGAACGCUGGCGGCGUGCUUAACACAUGCAAGUCGAACGGAAAGGCCUCUUUCGGGGGGUACUCGAGUGGCGAACGGGUGAGUAACACGUGAGUAACCUGCCCUUGACUUUGGGAUAACUUCAGGAAACUGGGGCUAAUACCGGAUAGGAGCUCCUGCUGCAUGGUGGGGGUUGGAAAGUUUCGGCGGUUGGGGAUGGACUCGCGGCUUAUCAGCUUGUUGGUGGGGUAGUGGCUUACCAAGGCUUUGACGGGUAGCCGGCCCGGGAGGGUGACCGGCCACAUUGGGACUGAGAUACGGCCCAGACUCCUACGGGAGGGAGCAGUGGGGAAUAUUGCACAAUGGGUGGAAGCCUGAUGCAGCAACGCCGUGUGCGGGAUGACGGCCUUCGGGUUGUAAACCGCUUUCGCUCAUGACGAAGCUUUGUGUGACGGUAGUGGGUAAAGAAGCACCGGCUAACUACGUG
rnacentral:rRNA from 1 species